rnacentral:rRNA from 1 species
AAACCAGCACCUCAAGUGGUCAGGAUGAUUAUUGGGCCUAAAGCAUCCGUAGCCGGCUCUGUAAGUUUUCGGUGAAAUCUGUACGCUCAACGUACAGGCUGCUGGGAAUACUGCAGGGCUAGGGAGUGGGAGAGAUAGACGGUACUCGGGAGGAAGUGGUAAAAUGCUUUGAUCUCUCGAUGACCACCUGUGGCGAAGGCGGUCUAUCAGAACACGUCCGACGGUGAGGGAUGAAAGCUGGGGGAGCAAACCGGAUUAGAUACCCGGGUAGUCC